AAAACCGGCAAGUUCAACAUAAGGUUGAAUUAUCGAGUCCAUAUGGACAUAUUCGUGGACCCGAGUCCGGAACCUUGAUACAUCCUAUAAAAGAAAGAACAAAAAACUUAACUAAGUUGGUAUGUUAAAAUAAAAGGGGGUUGGUGAAGAUGAAAGAAAAAAAGUUAACAAAAGAAAAAACUUACAUAUGUUGCGAUGUUU
rnacentral:lncRNA from 1 species